GCAGGUGCUGCUAAAGAAAAAUUCAUGUUGAGAUUGAGCUGCCCUUGGUCCUCUACGAGUCACACGCGUCACAAUGGGACACAAAUUGGAUAUAUGCGUGUGUAUGCCAAGAUCUACAAGGAUUUUUUAUAGUUGUGGAGGCAAAGCUACGAGAUUCCUCCACUUGGAAGUGUCCACAGGAUUUCCAAGAUUUAACUGCUUUUCUUGAAAUGGGAUUGCUGUUAUACGGGGAUAAAAAUAAAUUUAUAAGAAGUUAAUGAAUGUUUUAAAGAAUGUAUUAAUGUCUUUUUUUUCUACCUAUUUUCACCUAUAUUAUAGUGUGUAAAAGAAUUAUUGGCAAAUGAACAUUGAAAAUACAAUAAAGCUUAAUGAUUGUCUAUAUUUUGCACUGACGAAAACAAUUCACUAAGCGUUGAGCGAAGCAUAGCAAAUAUAUUUAUUCCUAUAAAAAAUUCUGCAAUAAUCCUUUAUAAAACAAUUUAGGAAUAUAAAAUAUAGUGGGUGAAUAGAAAGAAACUUUUGAUGUGUUUUUUUGAUGUGUCGGGUAAAUGAAAUUUGGCUCCUAUUUACAGGAACUCUCAUGUCUUUUCAUAAGAACACAACUAUUUAAAUGGAUAGUCAUAUCUUUUAACAAUAAACAUGAUUAUUCAAUAGAUGUAUCCUUAAAUAAUCACGAUUCAUUAUUAAUAAUAAAGUAAUAUAAUUUUUGAAUUUAAGAGACAUAAUUCAUUAUUAUGAAAUGUGAUAACUUUUGCUUAAUAACUAAGUGAUAUAACUUCCGGUUAUUUAUAAUUUUUCAUUUGUAAUUAUUGAAACACUAUAUAUAUUUUAAAAAUAUUCCAACAAGGAUUAAAAGUAAGAUCACAACUGGAUAAUUGUUUGAUAUAAAAAUAAAAUGAUGAACUCUUUUUCAUAUUUGAACUUUAAAGAUUACUCCUUAACACCCAGUUUGCAAUCAUACAUUUCCUAACAAGAAAGCUUUUAGAUUCAGUUCCCUUUUUUCUCAAAUUUCAAAGCUCCAUCUUCAAAACAAAACCCUAGUGACCCUAGUGAAAGAGAAAUGUUACUGUCAAUUUCAUAAAAGAAAAAUGUAUAUUAUAUGAUUAUAUGUGGAUGAAAGCUCUUCAUUGGAAUUGACUUCAAAAGCAAGAAAAGAACUUUCUCAAUCUUUGUAAAAAGUCCAUCUAUCACAUUCCUAGUUCAUAUUAUGCGAAAAAAGCAAAAAUAAUGUUGAUUUUAAGCAAAUCAUUGCUGCUUUAAGCAUGCAGCUAAAUAGGAAGAGGCUGCUAUAUAAAGAGAUUAAAAAGAACAGGACAUUAAAUUACUUCCUACCGUUCCUUAAUCUAUGUAGUUACUUGAAAGAUGUGACGAUGAAUUUAGAACAUGACUAAUACGCGAUUAAUGAUGACUUUAGAUGGUCAGUGAAAUUGAAAAUAACAAUGGUGGCUAAAUUAAUUAUUGUGGCAAUAAGACUGAUUAUUGAGCGGUGAUAUUAAAAUAAAUUGUGAGAAUGUAUUUAGAUUCAAAUGUAAUUACAAUUGUAAGAUAAGAAUGAGAAUUGACUAUUAAAGACAUUAGACUAAAAAUUAUAUAUAGUAAGAGAUUUAAAUUAUUUUAAUUUUAUGAAAUUAUUAAAAAUAAAUAUAAUUCUAAUUCUACUAAUAAAAUAAUAUGUAUGAUAAUAUUUUUGGAUUUUUGUUCUUGAUAUAACUAUUUAUUGUUUAUUAAAAUAAUUACUUAUAUUAAUCCUAGUGUGUUGAUCAUUAUUUUAUGAUAUUUAAAGUAAAAAAUUUGAAAUAUUUUAAUUAAUUGCUUAGCAAAAAAUAUUUUAAUUAAAGUCAUUUUUUUAUAUAUACUCUUUUUUACAAUUUCAUUUAGAGCAAUUAUCAAGAUAGCCCAACAUCAUUCAACAUUGAAAAACAUUAUUUAAAGAUAAGGGCAAUUUGGACAUUGAAAAAAUACACACAAUUGCACCUAAAAGCUCGAGUGAAAAAUGGCUGGUACGUUCCACCAAUCUCACCACAAUCAAAUAACACACGAACACUAGUUAAAGGGCCUUUUUUUUUUUACAUAAAAAGCUUGGACCACACCUAAAUAUGGCAUCCAAAAAAGCCUAAAUGGAAUUGAAUUAAACCCCGAACUCAAAUUAGCUUUAAACUAAAGCAUUUCAGCCACGUUUUUUUCUGUAUAAGAUUACAAACUAAUCAGACGGUUGAGAUAUGGGUAUUGGAUUUUUAAAAACCUAUGAACACAAUCGUAAGCAUAUUCACACAACUAAAGUUAAAGUAAGGGAGUGGCCUUUAUUUUUUCAGUGCUUUACAAAAUGAUUGGUACUUAAGUUGCACUCAGGAAGCUAGUAGGAAGUUCUUGAUCCUUAUGCUUUUUCCCAUUGACCUCACUCCUCACCUCUCCCAUUAAGUGUUAUCAAAGCACCUUUUAAUUAAACAUUAUAUCAAUAGGUGAAAAGUGUGUUGUUUUUAUUAUCAGAAAAGACAAUUUACUAAUGAAAAAGUUGGGGAAAAAAAAAGAAUAGUGAAAGAGUCAUUUCCAGAGAAGCUAGGUGUCCCCUUUUUUAUGGAAGGAAUCAGCAUUGCUAAUACUUGUAAAUUUACUAGGUGCCUUUUAAACUAUUCUUUAAUGAGACUAGCUUUCUGGGAUUUAGUAGCUAGGUUAUGACCUAUUAAUGGCUUUAUUGUUUAUAGUAGUAAUUAACUUAUAACUUGCCGAAGGAUCAUGUACCUUAAUGGUAUAUCCUUCUUUUAUUAAUUAUUUGAAGUUUUUUUUCUAUCUCCAAUCUUAGCAUGCAAGAAUAGUUCUAAGAGCUACUAAGCUAUAGACAGAGCUUUCUGAGGAUAUGCAUCAGACAUUCUUUUAGGCCAAAUGUGCUAAGGUUAGAUCCAUAAUGGCAACCACUGAUGAUAAAGCAUGAAGAGAAGAGACCUUCCCGUGAUUCAUGUUGUUAUAUAAUAUAAAGCAAAUGAAAGAAAUUUGUUAGGGGAAUGAUAUUUAACUUCAUUGUCCCCAUUCAAUAUUUUAUUAGCAAAAGCCAGAAUUCAAGGGUGGGAAUGGAUAGAAAAUUGAAAAACAAAGGCCUCAUCCAACUCAAUUCCAAAAACCAAUAAAAUACUUGCCAUGACCAUGAAAAUCAUGGAUUAGAUUAACUUCAUGGAGACUUAUAAAGGUUGUACCGGCUUGUGGUUCGAAUUAAAUAUAUAUAUCUCUUUAACAGAAUCUCGGGAUUUGGAGAUUUUUAUACAAAGAAGGUUUCAAUCUAAAGACAAGAAAGAGUUAUAAAUGUUAAGAUUCGUCUCUUUUAACUUAAGGGUGACGGCAUUUAUGAACCACUUGGGUUAAGCCCAGGUUCGGUACAUGAAGCAGAUUAUAUGGCAGCCAUGAACAGCCAAUCCAAUUAAUGGAAUAAUUACGUCACUCAGAAUCUACAACUUUCCUAUUUGAGUUCAAACUUUUAUACAGUGGAUUUUUUGAGACCCAACAAUCGGCAGAAAUCAGUAUUUUAUGUCAACUUUACAUAAUGGAAGCUCUUUAUGUAAUCACCUGCACAGCAUACAACAUAAUAAAUCUACUUUUUUUUUGUCUGUUUCUUGUUUUUUUUCUCUCAGCUAUCAGGGUUUCAGUUGGUUCUAAACGUUUCGAAUCCACAUUCAGAUUAAGUGCACCCUCUCCGUAGGGGAGAAAAACGUAUAAAAUAUUAACUAUGAUGUGAGGAAAUGAAACCACUAGCAGCAGAAAUGUGUUAGUUUAUGGAAAUACCUUUAAAUGGUGGCAUCUAGCAGGUACGGGUCAAAAUCCCAGCAUUUGCAAAC
rnacentral:lncRNA from 1 species